rnacentral:lncRNA from 1 species
UCGGAACGUAUAGAUUGCAUAACCUACGUUGACGAAGUUUACAAACUUGAACGUAUGUAUAAUGUUUGAAAAUCUGAAUUCCCACCUAUCCCUUAUGAAAGCAUGUGGCCGCCUACCUCGCACGCUCCUUUUGAGUUGGUCCCAAAUAAGAACUUGCGAUGCAAGCCAAAAUGUUGGCCGAACUCAACUUGGAUAUGAGGAAAUAUGGAUAUUCAAGAGCGGGGAGAUUGUAAC